rnacentral:tRNA from 1 species
GGGUUAAUAGUUAAUAAAUAUAUAAUGAAAGUCUUGUAAACUUUAGUAAGCUUAGUCUUUAGCCCU